rnacentral:rRNA from 1 species
UACGGAGGGGGCUAGCGUUGUUCGGAAUUACUGGGCGUAAAGCGCACGUAGGCGGACAGGGAAGUUGGGGGUGAAAUCCCGGGGCUCAACCCCGGAACUGCCUCCAAAACUCCCUGUCUGGAGGAUGAGAGAGGCGAGUGGAAUUCCGAGUGUAGAGGUGAAAUUCGUAGAUAUUCGGAGGAACACCAGUGGCGAAGGCGGCUCGCUGGCUCAUUUCUGACGCUGAGGUGCGAAAGCGUGGGGAGCAAACAGG